GAUGAACGCUAGCGGCAGGCUUAACACAUGCAAGUCGAGGGGUAGAAGUUGCUUGCAACUUUGAGACCGGCGCACGGGUGCGUAACGCGUAUGCAAUCUACCUUAUACAGAGGGAUAGCCCAGAGAAAUUUGGAUUAAUACCUCAUAGUAUAAUUGAAUGGCAUCAUUUAAUUAUUAAAGUUCCAACGGUAUAAGAUGAGCAUGCGUUCUAUUAGCUAGAUGGUAAGGUAACGGCUUAACAUGGCAACGAUAGGUAGGGGUCCUGAGAGGGAGAUCCCCCACCAUGGGACUGAGACACGGACCAGACUCCUACGGGAGGCAGCAGUGAGGAAUAUUGGACAAUGGGCGCAAGCCUGAUCCAGCCAUGCCGCGUGCAGGAAAAAGCAUCUAUGGUGUGUAAACUGCUUUUGUACGGGAAGAAACACCCCUUCGUGAAGGGACUUGACGGUACCGUAAGAAUAAGGAUCGGCUAACUCCGUGCCAGCAGCCGCCGCGGUAA
rnacentral:rRNA from 1 species